rnacentral:rRNA from 1 species
AACGAACGCUGGCGGCAUGCCUAACACAUGCAAGUCGAACGAAGCCUUCGGGCUUAGUGGCGCACGGGUGCGUAACGCGUGGGAAUCUGCCCUCAGGUACGGAAUAACUCAGGGAAACUUGAGCUAAUACCGUAUGAUGUCUUCGGACCAAAGAUUUAUCGCCUGGGGAUGAGCCCGCGUCGGCUUAGCUAGUUGGUGGGGUAAAGGCCUACCAAGGCGACGAUCCGUAGCUGGUCUGAGAGGAUGAUCAGCCACACUGGGACUGAGACACGGCCCAGACUCCUACGGGAGGCAGCAGUGGGGAAUAUUGGACAAUGGGCGAAAGCCUGAUCCAGCAAUGCCGCGUGAGUGAAGAAGGCCUUCGGGUUGUAAAGCUCUUUUACCCGGGAAGAUAAUGACUGUACCGGGAGAAUAAGCCCCGGCUAACUCCGUGCCAGCCGCCGCCGUAACAC